GCCUACGGCCAUACCACCUUAGGCACGCCCGAUCUCGUCUGAUCUCGGAAGCUAAGCAGGGUCGGGCCUGGUUAGUACUUGGAUGGGUGACCGCCUGGGAAUACCAGGUGCUGUAAGUA
rnacentral:rRNA from 10 species